ACCUAGUGACACACCAAACUCACUAUUUACAAAAUGGUGGGCCUUCAUUCUGUGAAGCAUAGAAGUACCACAGUGUUUGAGCAGCCAGCUCCAACAGUGUGAUGUAAAUUUGAUUCUGAAUGACCUUUGCUUUUUUAAAGGUUUCAUCAUCAUGCACCUAAGAAGAAACACAUUUAACUCUUUCUAAAUGUCUACCGCCACUACAUGACUCUUUUUGGAGAAUUCCUAUGGACAUUUCAUCAUGGUACAUCUUAUUUUCUCAGCAACCAGAACAGGUUCCAAUGCAUACGGAACUCUAGAUAAUUGCUGAAUGGCUAAAUGAAAUACAUCAUUUUUUCUGGAUUGGCAAUUUUACAGGUUAAUUAUAAUAGAAACAUACCUAUGUAACCUGAAAUUCAAUGUGAUAUAAAAGUUCCAUUCAAGAGAUACUUGUCAUAAGUGGUUAUAAUAAAGCAGUUCCACAUC